UUUUUCAGUCUGCUUUCUUCAGGAGAAGCCUCCAGGAAAGGAAAGGGGAUAGCUGGAUGCAGUUCUGCACAUUUCUAUGCUGCUGCUUCCUGACAGGGCAGCCCCAGCACAGGAGGCCUCUGCAGACCACUCUCUUAUCUCUGUGUUGGAAAUGCUUCUGGGAGGUCUCCAGACAACUUGUGUUUCUCCAAGAAGAGAGGAUUUUGAAGCAGAAAGGUUGGUGGGACAGCCUUGGGGAGAGAAUGGCAGAGAACAGGAAGGAAGGCUAAUGUGGAUCAAAGGAAAGCUAAGGCUGCGAACAGAUGAAGAGCUGAAUUGUUUGCAUUGUCUAUUGCGAAGCACUUCUGCAGCAUUUGCUGGACUGAAAGCACAGCUGCUCUUGACUUUCUGGAAGCCAUGGAUGAGGAGUACUUCUUCAAAUCAGGCUGAGUUAGUCCCCAUGUCAGAGUUCAGACAACGAAGAACACCAGCAACAUUUAGCAAACCUUUUCCUAGUCUCCCAUAGCAUUUGUGUGAAGGGAAGAAACAAAAUAAUCCAGUUCCCACAGCACCCCUCAGUACCCCUUAACAGUUGGACUGUAUUUCACACUCUAAAGUCUCCUAACACCUUCAGAUAUUUCAGUUCACUAGUCCUGUUCACUGCUCCCUGAUGAAAGACAAUCCAGCCUGCAGUUGGAAUGCAACCAAGUUCUUAGGCAAAAUGAAUACUCCCCUUAGAUUCGUUUUUGUGUAUUUGACUUCACGACUCAACACUGUUUUUUUUAACACAGCCUUUUGUGUAUAAUGUAUGAGGUCUUAAAAGUUGUUUGAAAGCACAGCUUCCUCUACAAUGCCUCAAAUCAUCGUGCAUAUGGUCCAUCAGUAGUAGGGCUGAAGGUCUUGGAUUUGCUACUUAGAUCUCUUCCACUGAGGGAUAAUUGGUGACACAGCAGAUGCUUCAUUCUGGACAAAUUGCUGAAGAA
rnacentral:lncRNA from 1 species